ACUCAAAUGAAUAGACGGGGGCCCGCACAAGCGGCGGAGCAUGCGGCUUAAUUCGAUGCGACGCGAAGAACCUUACCUGGGUUUGACAUGCAGGGUGAAACCCGCAAAAGCGGGCGCUCUUCGGAGCCUGCACAGGUGGUGCAUGGCUGUCGUCAGCUCGUGCCGUGAGGUGUUGCCUUAAGUGGCGCAACGAGCGCAACCCUUGUCCUUAGUUGCCAGCGGGUCAUGCCGGGAACUCUAAGGAGACUGCCGGUGCCAAACCGGAGGAAGGUGGGGAUGAGGUCAAGUCAUCAUGCCCCUUAAGCCCAGGGCUGCACGCAUGCUACAAUGCGCGAUACAGAGGGCUGCGAUCCCGUAAGGGGGAGCGAAUCCCACAAAUUCGCGCUCAGUUCGGAUCGAGGUCUGCAACCCGACCUCGUGAAGUCGGAGUCGCUAGUAAUCGCAGAUCAGCAAUGCUGCGGUGAAUACGUUCCCGGGCCUUGUACACACCGCCCGU
rnacentral:rRNA from 1 species